UACGUAGGGGGCAAGCGUUGUCCGGAUUCAUUGGGCGUAAAGAGCGUGUAGGCGGCCAGGUAGGUCGGUUGUGAAAACUGGAGGCUCAACCUUCAGAGGUCGACCGAAACCAUCUGGCUAGAGUCCGGGAGAGGAGAGUGGAAUUCCUGGUGUAGCGGUGAAAUGCGCAGAUAUCAGGAAGAACACCCGUGGCGAAAGCGGCUCUCUGGACCGGUUCUGACGCUGAGACGCGAAAGCGUGGGGAGCGAACCGG
rnacentral:rRNA from 1 species